rnacentral:rRNA from 1 species
CUGACACAGGGAGGUAGUGACAAAAAAUAACAAUGCCGGGCGUUUUCACGUCUGGCAAUUGGAAUGAGAGCGAUUUAAAUCCCCCAUCGAGGAUCAAUUGGAGGGCAAGUCUGGUGCCAGCAGCCGCGGUAAUUCCAGCUCCAAUAGCGUAUAUUAAAGUUGUUGCAGUUAAAAAGCUCGUAGUUGGAUUUCUGGCGUCGCCGCCCGGUUGGCCUCGAAAGGGGUAUGUACUGGGGCGCGCGUCGCCAUCCUCGGGGGAAGGUCGUCUGGCAUUAGGUUGUCGGACGGUCGACGCUCGUCGUUUACUGUGAACAAAUUAGAGUGUUCAAAGCAGGCUUAGGCCGUUGAAUACAUUAGCAUGGAAUAAUGAGAUAGGACUUUGGUGGUCUAUUUUGUUGGUUUGCACGCCGAAGUAAUGAUUAAUAGGGGCGUUGGGGGUAUUCGUAUUCAAUUGUCAGAGGUGAAAUUCUUGGAUUUAUGGAAGACGAACUACUGCGAAAGCAUUUACCAAGGAUGUUUUCAUU